rnacentral:rRNA from 1 species
GCGCGAAAACUUUACAAUGCUGGCAACGGCGAUAAGGGAACCUCGAGUGCCAGGUUACAAAUCUGGCUGUUGAGAUGCCUAAAAAGCAUUUCAUAGCAAGGGCCGGGCAAGACCGGUGCCAGCCGCCGCGGUAACACCGGCGGCUCGAGUGGUAACCGUUAUUAUUGGGUCUAAAGGGUCUGUAGCCGGCCGGAUAAGUCUCUUGAGAAAUCUGGCAGCUUAACUGUCAGGCUUUCAGGAGAUACUGUCUGGCUCGAGGCCGGGAGAGGUGAGAGGUACUUCAGGGGUAGGGGUGAAAUCUUGUAAUCCUUGAAGGACCACCAGUGGCGAAGGCGUCUCACCAGAACGGACCUGACGGCAAGGGACGAAAGCUAGGGGCACGAACC